UUUUUUUUCAUUGAAUUUAGUGCAACAGUCCUAUUUUUCUGUUGAAAUUUUACAGCUUAUUGACUUGACUCUUAAGAAAUUUAUCAUCUAUAGAUGAUAUGUAUGUAUGUAAAUUAAACUGGCAGCUCUGAAACAAAUUUGCUCAUUUAUUUCUGGACUUCAAAGAAAUACCUCCCUGCCUGCAACCACCUCCAACAAAGGAGAUAUAUAUUUAAAUAAUGUGGCUAAAAAAAAAUUUCCUAUAGAGAUCAGUAGCU
rnacentral:lncRNA from 1 species